rnacentral:lncRNA from 1 species
UAAAACAUCGUAUAUUAUGAGACGAAUGGAGCAUUUUUGUAACCUAGCUUUAUAAACAGAAUUUAGGAAAAAAGAACAUCAGAGCCUUGUAUUUAAGUACUCCAUCUGGCUUCAUCAAAUAUAUACUCUUGAAUUGAAGGAUGACAUAAUUUUUCUUCUUGUUUUUCACCACCAGUUCCUGUUAAAUGCCAACAACCCACCUCCUCCUUCCUUCAUUAACCCAUACUUCCACCUCUCAAUCUCUACAGUUAAA